rnacentral:rRNA from 1 species
UACGUAGGGUGCGAGCGUUGUCCGGAAUUAUUGGGCGUAAAGAGCUCGUAGGCGGCCUGUCGCGUCGGAUGUGAAAGCCCGGGGCUUAACCCCGGGUCUGCAUUCGAUACGGGCAGGCUAGAGUGUGGUAGGGGAGAUCGGAAUUCCUGAUGUAGCGGUGAAAUGCGCAGAUAUCAGGAGGAACACCCGUAGCGAAGGCGGCACUCUGGGCCGGUACUGACGCUGAGGAGCGAAAGCGUGGGGAGCAAACAGG